rnacentral:rRNA from 1 species
GUGAAGAAGGUCUUCGGAUUGUAAAGCACUUUAAGUUGGGAGGAAGGGCAGUUACCUAAUACGUGAUUGUUUUGACGUUACCGACAGAAUAAGCACCGGCUAACUCUGUGCCAGCAGCCGCGGUAAUACAGAGGGUGCAAGCGUUAAUCGGAAUUACUGGGCGUAAAGCGCGCGUAGGUGGUUUGUUAAGUUGAAUGUGAAAGCCCCGGGCUCAACCUGGGAACUGCAUCCAAAACUGGCAAGCUAGAGUAUGGUAGAGGGUGGUGGAAUUUCCUGUGUAGCGGUGAAAUGCGUAG